UAUAAGAUUAAACUUAAGAUUGUAUAACAGAGAACUAAAGGAGAAGAUCUCAGUUAUUACAGCUAGUUGUGAAGUUUUUGUUAUUUUUAUAUUUAUUUUUUAAAUAAUAUGCCAUUAAGUUAAGCUAAGAUAGACACUAACUGAAUAAGUUAAAGAAAGCUAACUUUGUUAGAAUUACAUAUUCGGUAAUAAGAAAUUAAGAUUAAGACCAGUGGUAGUCUUGCAUCGUACUGAGUGAUUCGUUGACUUCUUUUUGAUUAAUUGGAAUGGAAGAAAAUAAAGAUCUGAAAGAUGAUGAGAAGGUUGUGGCAAAAGUAAACCCAACUAUAACAGAAGGAAGUCAAUGUAACUGUGUGGAAGUUAAUCUGGAUAGUGAAGAAAAGGAAUGCAAAGACUGUAUUCAAAUUGAUCCAUUUUAUGCACCUAAAGUUUUGAGAAAAAAUUGUUCUGUAGGAAAUCUUAAUUUGGAAGGAAACAAUGAAGCUAGGGUGCUGGUUCUUUAUACUGGUGGGACAAUUGGAAUGGUACGAUCUGAAAAAGGAGUGUAUGUUCCUCAGUCCAAUAUUUUAGAAUCCAAUCUUAAGAAGUUUCCCCAGCUUCAUGAUGAUUCAUAUGCACGAGAAAGUUUCCCUGCCAAUAGCAGAAAGGUCCCACUAGUUCUCCCGGAAACUGGUGAUCCAAAACGUGUUGUGUACACCAUCUUUGAAUAUGAUCCUUUGCUAGACUCGUCUAACAUGACUAUGGAUGAUUGGAUACAUAUUGCCUUAGAUAUCAAGCAAGCAUAUGAAGAGUUUGAUGGCUUUGUUAUACUUCAUGGUACAGAUACAUUGGCUUAUACAGCAUCUGCUCUUUCUUUUAUGUUGGAGAACCUUGGAAAGACGGUCAUUCUUACAGGUUCCCAGAUUCCUUUAUUUGAACCACGGAGUGAUGGGAGAGAGAAUUUUCUCAGCUCACUUAUAAUUGCUGGAAAUUAUACUAUUCCAGAGGUUACUGUUCUUUUUAACAAUCAACUUUUUCGAGGGAAUCGAACAAGCAAAAUUAGUACCAGCAGCUUGGAUGCUUUUGGAUCCCCAAAUCUGGCUUCUCUUGCAACUGUUGGAAUCAAAAUACAUAUUCAAUGGCAGAAUGUCUUUCAACCUACAACAAUUGAAGAGUUUUGUGUUCAUGACAAGCUAAAUCGCCAUGUUGGUCUGCUGCGUUUAUUUCCUAGUAUUACGGUUGAAGUGGUGAGGGCUUUUCUGAUGCCUCCCAUACGAGGAGUUGUUCUUCAGACAUAUGGAGCAGGUAAUGGCCCCACCCAUAGACGUGAUCUACUAGAUGAACUGAAAAGGGCCUCUCAAAGGGGUGUUAUAAUUGUAAAUUGUACUCAGUGCUGUAGUGGUAGAGUUGAUCCAUUUUAUGAAACUGGAAAUGCUUUGAUGGACAUUGGAGUUGUACCAGGCUCAGACAUGACACCAGAAGCAGCCCUUACUAAGCUAGGAUAUGUACUUAGCAAGUCUGAAUGGUCCCACCAGAUGAAGAGAAAGAUGAUGCAGACUAACUUAAGAGGUGAGCUUACUGUCGGAAAGGAUAUAAAGCUUGAAGACAAGGAUUUAAUUACCGGAAUUAUCACAGCCAUGAGGCUGUCAUCAGCUGAAGAAGUUGAUGCUCUUCGAAGUGCUCUUUAUCCUUCUAUUCUCUGUACUGUGGCUGCUAAGGGAGACCUUGAAAAGCUUGAAAUUAUGAGGCAGUUUGGAGCCUACCUCUCUGCAUGUGACUAUGAUUUUCGCACUCCACUACACAUUGCCGCAUCAGAGGGUAACCAAGAAAUUGUAGAGUAUCUCCUUAAGCAUGGGGCCAGUGUGCACAUGAGGGACCGAGAGCAUAAGACACCCCUACAAAAUGCUGUUGAGUUUGAUUAUCAUGAAAUCAUUAAAAUACUGAGAAAGGCUGGCAGCCAUCUUACUCUGCCGCCUUUGGUUUUGGCAGACUGUGUAAUAAAUGCUGCUAAACGUAACGAUGUUAGAAGAUUGACCUCUUAUUCGCUAGCUGGAGUGAAUUUGAGUGAACCUGAUGGUUGUGGUCGUACAGCACUUCAUGUGUACACAGUAGAACUGAAGCACUGGAAACAGAGAAAAAGAGAUCCAUAGCUGUGACUGUGUAUCAACAUUCUGAAUGGAGAACUAUGGUGCAGCACCUGAAGAAUAUAUGAUGAUGGAACUGAACCAUUGGUUACUGAACUUCUCCUACUGUGCCAAGUUAGUUACAUUUGGAUUCGUACUCUGUUCCAGUGGCUUCUGGUGACUACUAAGGUAACACUGUCCCUUCACUGUGGGGAAUAAACUUAAGGAUGAGACUGAUUUCUAGUGACUACUAAGGUAACACUGUCCCUUCACUGUGGGGAAUAAACUUAAGAAUGAAACUGAUUUCUGGUGACUACUAAGGUAACACUGUCCCUUCACUGUGGGGAAUAAACUUAAGAAUGAGAUUGAUUUCUGAUGACUACUAAGGUAACACUGUCCCUUCAUUGUGGGGAAUAAACUUAAGAAUGAAACUGGUUUCUGGUGACUACUAAGGUAACACUGUCCCUUCACUGUGGGGAAUAAACUUAAGAAUGAGACUGAUUUCUGGUGACUACUAAGGUAACACUGUCCCUUCACUGUGGGGAAUAAACUUAAGAAUGAGACUGAUUUCUGGUGACUACUAAGGUAACACUGUCCCUUCACUGUGGGGAAUAAACUUAAGAAUGAGACUGAUUUCUGGUGACUACUGAGGUAACACUGUCCCUUCACUGUGGGGAAUAAACUUAAGAAUGAGACUGAUCACAUUCACUGAAAAUGAAUCUGUUAGUCCUACAUUUUAUCUACUCGACUAUAUGUUAUCUCUUCUUCUUCUUCAUUAUUAUUUUUUUUGUCUAUAAAACGUCACCCUGUUUAUCCUUUUUUUUUCCCCAAAAGCUACUUGCAACCUUUUAAUACACAAAUGACUAGAGAAUUAUAUUAAACUCAAAUCUAGUUCACUUAAUGAAAGCACUCCAAUAAAACCACAGAUAAACACAUGCAGAAUGACUUCUAUUUGCAUUUUAUUCCAUAUUGUAAAAAAAGGGCUCCUGUGAAACAGAGGAAUAGCUUUAAUAAUAAUUAAUGUCCAAGUUUAAAUAUUUUCCAACACAUUUUUUGGAACAAAAAUUGAUUUGGAUCCCAGAUCUGUUAUUCAACAUUGGCCUUUGACAAAGUUUAGCAACAGUUUUUUGUAAUGCGUUUCACACAGUUUAAAGGACUCAUCUUAUGUAUCAUGUAAUGGAAAGAAGUUAUUUUAUUAUGUAGAAUAAAAGUUUAAUUUUGAAUCUAUCUGCUAAGAUUUGAGAUUCACUUUUUGUAAGGUUUACUUUUUAUUUAUUUAGAUUUGACAAAUUGUUUAUCAAACCAUAGCUGCUUGGUCAGCUGUAAAGAUUUUUAUCCUGUUAUUCUUCUUUAUAAUUUUAAAAAAUAUCGGGAUACAUUUCUCUACAGCUUUUCAAGGUGUCUUUCUUUGUAGUUGUAGAGGGUAUCCUAGCCUGUUUCUUUGUAGAUUUCUAGUUUAUUUUGGUGUCUUUCUUUUGCUUUAUAGACUAGCAGGAUAUUAUUUGCAUCUGUAGAUGAUAUUUCUAUAGAUUUUCUUUAUAACCCUAUGGGCUAUAUAGGUAUUUUCCUUCACACAUCAGCAAGAUAUUUGUUAUAUCUCUGGAAGAUAUUCAGAAAAACCAAUCUAUGUAGCCCCAGUAUCUACUAAUAGAAAUCAUGAUUUAUUCUAACUUUUUUUUAUCAUUG